AUUGAACGCUGGCGGAAUGCUUUACACAUGCAGGUCGAACGGCAGCACGGACUUCGGUCUGGUGGCGAGUGGCGAACGGGUGAGUAAUGUAUCGGAACGUGCCCAGUCGUGGGGGAUAACGUAGUGAAAAUUACGCUAAUACCGCAUACGAUCUAUGGAUGAAAGCGGGGGAUCGCAAGACCUCGCGCGAUUGGAGCGGCCGAUAUCAGAUUAGGUAGUUGGUGGGGUAAAGGCCCACCAAGCCAACGAUCUGUAGCUGGUCUGAGGGGACGACCAGGCACACUGGAACUGAGACACGGUCCAGACUCCUACGGUAGGCAGCAGUGGGGAAUUUUGGACAAUGGGCGAAAGCAUGAUCCAGCCAUUCCGCGUGCAGGAUGAAGGCCCUCGGGUUGUAAACUGCUUUUGUACAGAACGAAAAGGUUUCUACUAAUACUAGGAGCUCAUGACGGUACUGUAAGAAUAAGCACCGGCUAACUACGUGCCAGCCGCCGCCGUAA
rnacentral:rRNA from 1 species